CCUACGGGAGGCAGCAGUGGGGAAUAUUGGGCAAUGGGCGCAAGCCUGACCCAGCAACGCCGCGUGAAGGAAGAAGGCCUUCGGGUUGUAAACUUCUUUUCUCAGGGACGAAGAAAGUGACGGUACCUGAGGAAUAAGCGACGGCUAACUACGUGCCAGCAGCCGCGGUACUACGUAGGUGGCAAGCGUUAUCCGGAUGUAUUGGGUGUAAAGGGCGUGUAGGCGGGUGCGCAAGUAAGAUGUGAAAACUCAGGGCUCAACCCUGGGCCUGCAUUUGAAACUGUGUUUCUUGAGUGCUGGAGAGGAAAUCGGAAUUCCGGGUGUAGCGGUGAAAUGCGUAGAGAUACGGAGGAACACCAGUGGCGAAGGCGGAUUGCUGGACAGUAACUGACGCUGAGGCGCGAAAGCGUGGGGAGCAAACAGGAUUAGAUACCCCAGUAGUC
rnacentral:rRNA from 1 species